UGCUUACCAAUGAUGUUUUAAAAUAAUGUCUGAACUAAUGAAUUGCCAGUGAUAUUACUUUAGUACUGAGGUAAGCC